rnacentral:rRNA from 1 species
UAGGGAAUCUUCGGCAAUGGGGGCAACCCUGACCGAGCAACGCCGCGUGAGUGAAGAAGGUUUUCGGAUCGUAAAGCUCUGUUGUAAGAGAAGAACGUGUGUGAGAGUGGAAAGUUCACACAGUGACGGUAACUUACCAGAAAGGGACGGCUAACUACGUGCCAGCAGCCGCGGUAAUACGUAGGUCCCGAGCGUUGUCCGGAUUUAUUGGGCGUAAAGCGAGAGCAGGCGGUUUAAUAAGUCUGAAGUUAAAGGCAGUGGCUUAACCAUUGUUCGCUUUGGAAACUGUUAAACUUGAGUGCAGAAGGGGAGAGUGGAAUUCCAUGUGUAGCGGUGAAAUGCGUAGAUAUAUGGAGGAACACAGGUGGCGAAAGCGGCUCUCUGGUCUGUAACUGACGCUGAGGCUCGAAAGCGUGGGGAGCAAACAGG